rnacentral:miRNA from 1 species
AGAGUGUGUGUGUGUGUGUGUGCGUGUGUGUGUGUGUGUGUGUGCGCACACACACACACACACACACACAGCCAUACUCU